rnacentral:lncRNA from 1 species
GGUGGCUUACUUUAAUCCAUGGUUAGAAUGACUAAGCUAAAAUACAUGCCUGAGUUGUCAUGGUUUUAGAUCAUUAGAAAGCUACGAAGUGUAUAUUUUAUCUGAUAACUAAAAGGAAUCAAAUAAGAGUUGUUUUCCCUGCCAUUUUCAUUCCUUAGUUUACCCGUCCCAUCCGGUCCAAACUAAUUCCAUGUCUCUCUAAAGUCUUCUUAGUUCGGCUGAAUUUUUUUUUCCAAGGAGUUGAAGUUGCAAGCUAAAUUGAAAGAUAUUAUCGGCAUCAAAACAAUAUUUAAGCAUCAUUACUCUUAGAAACUUCAGCAAACAAAGGUAAGCUAUGAGUUUUUGUUGAGUUCAUAGAAAUUAGUUAGAAUAUGCUUUGUAUUGUUAGAAUUGCUGUGUUGAUUUUGAGGAACUGUUGUGAUUGGGUUGUGUAUUGUUAAGGAGGUUUUAUUGUAGAUCAUAUGGAGUUAUAAAGGAGAAAAUUUUGGGCUUAACCAUCUCAAAAAUGUUUGUGAAUUCUGUUUUUAUAAAAGAUGCACAUAUGGUGUUUGUAAAAAUUCCUAUUAGAGGUUGUCAAGCAUUAAUAGAAGAAUUUAGUUAAGCUUGAGAUCAAAGUAGUCUUUAUGCAUGUUAUGUGAAGUGAUUAAAGUUGUUUGGGUGAACCAAGUUGGGUUAAAAACUUGUUUUGGGAUGAAGAAACUUUACCAACUGUGUAAAUCUUAGCAGUCUGAGGAUUUGAUAGCCAGGGUCUAUCCGCAGCUUAACAAAAUCUUUUUUUUAUUACUUUCCUAUUAGAAUCUGUUUACAGAUCAAUUGUUAUUGUUCUUUCUCUGUUUGGGCAUAAACUUGCCAUAUAUUUAUAUUGGUGCUCUGUGUUUCAUUAUUGUUAUGCUAUGAAUAAUUUUGAUAAUGAAGCUCUUAGUUGUUUAAUUAUUUUCCUUCUUGUAUAUUGCCUUUUAUCCAUGGUUGUUCAUGUGCAGAUGUGUGCUAAUGUAGUUGUAUUGCUUAAAGUUUCCAUUCUUUUAUUACUCAGGCUAUUCUUAAUUUUUUUUCCCUCGAUUGUGGAGAAGUUGUUCACCACGAUGCUGAUCCUAGUCUGAGGGCAUUUCUUUCGUUUGUGCUUGAGUCGGUAAGAUAUGUCCAAACAAUAAUCUGUAGUCAGUUUCUUAUUGACAUCUUGUUUAAUAGUUACUUCUUGGUUACAAUAGUUUGUAGUCAAAACAAAACAAAAUAUAUAGUGCAUUUGAGUUGGGAAAAAGUCUGAAUAAAGUGUUUACUCUUGUGGCAUGUAUAUAAAUUAAAGUUACACCAGUGGGUGAACUGUUCUUGGACUUUCUUCUUUAAAAGCAAGAUAUUUUCCUUGACUCUAAAGGGCCACUGAUGAAAUUUGAAGAUAUGCACUUAAUAUUUGUAAGCAAUGAAGUAUUUUUGGUCAUCCAAUGCCUCAUUUUGGUCAUGCUUCUAUAUUCAAAGGCAAAGGUUCCUUCAAAAAUUUAAAUCAAGUCUUUUGUAUGGUUUUUUAACCUUUUUUUCCAGUUUAACACUAGUGACAUGUGUCAAGAUAUAGGUCGUACAAAUCUGUCUCCGAAUGUGUGUUAAUGUGUAUGCAGGAAAAUCUUUGUGGUUGUGGUUCUCGCUGUUGCUGCUAUGUCGUGCAGCUGCUGUUGGUUUUGUCUUGCUGAUGGUGCGGCUGUUGGUUUGCUUCAAUUCAUGGACCGUCUUGGUUUUGGGCUGUUGGGUCAUGUUUGGGCUGUUAGUGACGCACUAUUAUCUUGUCAUAUAAAAUUAGUAUUUGUGACAAUAAAAAUUGUCAUAAUUUAUUAAUUUUUCGUCUUUACAAAAUUUGCCUCCAAAAUUUCUUAUAAUUUUUUGCCUCCAAAUAAAAUUGUGAUGAUAUUACGUACUUUGUCACUUUAUAUAAGAAUUUAUGAC